GUGUCUAAAUAAUUCAUGUGGAUAAUACAUAUAAUUCAAAGAUGCUUAAUUAUUACAUAAUGGUUAUGGGGGUUAGAAUUUUAUGUUGAUAGUAUAUAAAAAGUGUUUUGGGAAUUGGGACACUCGGGCCAAAACGUCUAAAUCCAUUACUGUAGAUGGACAUAUACUGGGGGUCCUGGGGUUACAAUGUCUCGACAUACAACUUUUUGUGUUUACACAUAAAACCUUAAAAAACUGAGACGCGAGUGUUUCGGCUUCUGCCAUUAGCGUUGUGCUUGCAGACUAUGUGGGCGAACUAGUUUGGUUGUGCACAGCUGAAGACUACGCAGUAAUGCGGCCUAUGAGUGAGGGAGUUGACAAACUAGUUUGGUUUGCGCGCGGAGGAAGUGUUCUGUUUGUGUUGCUUUGUUUGGCCCGUAUCAUGGCUGCUAAAUGAAAGUCCGAGUCUUCGGAUGGUAGUGCUUCGAAGAGGAGGAAAGCCAUCACGGUAGAAGUGAAAUUAGACAUUGUGAAGAAACCAGAAGGAAUAAAGAUGACAUCUGCCACUGUGAUGAUUCCAAGCCGCUGGUGCUCUUCUAAUCUGCUUGCUUGUGUUGCGGCUCCUAACAGCUCCUAUUUUGAAUGAAGUCUUCAGACUGUAUCCGCCUUCUAUAUACAGUAAUAAAGUGCCUGUAUUUUCCUUGGAAACCUGGACUCACCUUUCUGUCUCUCAUGCAACUCUGUAACCAAAGUUUGACAA